GAAUUGAUAGCUCAGCUGGUAGAGCACUCGGCUUUUAACCGACAGGUCCUGGGUUCGAAUCCCAGUCAAUUCA
rnacentral:tRNA from 1 species